AGCACCUGUGGGAAACCCACGGGAUGAAUCCAAGGCUCCCCAGGCACUCAGGGCAGGGCAUGCAAAGCAGAGGGGCUGGGCAUGGUUUCCUGCAGGCACACCUGCACAAGCAUGGUCACUGGCACACCAUGGGCAGUCUUGGAUCCUCACUUCCCAACCUCUUAGUACUGCCUGCCCAAGGGCAGUUCAGAGAGCACCAGAUCCUAAUGCCAGGGGAUUGGGACAGCAGGAGAUCUGCUGGGGACUCCUAAACUUAAUAGAUUCCUGGAUUGGGAGCUCCUUACCUCUGGCUCAGCCUGGUUAAUCAAGGGGGUAGGGGGUAGUCCUGCCAGGACCAGGGAACCAGCGGCCUCUGCUGGCCACAUAGGGAACCUGCACAGCCUGCCCUCACAUCCAUACUCCCUGGAGAACAGAGUUGACUCUGAGCAUCUGGGGAUUGACAAGUUCCUGAAAAGUCAAGGGAGAUCCCUCUGCUGAGUAGAGGCUGGAUGGCCAGCAUGGAUGUGGAAGCCUGUGUGAUGCCCGCCCCUUGCUGUCCUCCCUUGAGCCACUGUUGGGACGCCCGCUGCACAGCCUUCCAGCCAAGGUGGCAGCUGGAAGGGAAGAGAAAAGCGUCAAGCACUGGCCAAGACUCACUGCACCACCCUGGGCCAGGUCCUGCCCAUAGACAUGUGUUUGGUCUGCGCUGCUUUUUCAACGUUUUUUUUCAAUUCAUCAUUAAUGUUAAAAAUCAAGAACUUUCACAGGGCAAUCUGCAUUGUUUCUUUGCAAAGUCCUGGGUCCGGAUUCGCCAGGGGCAACUUUCCCUAAGUGGACCCUAAGAAGAAUUGUGCCUUGAGGCCUUAGUAGGACCGUGGAGCUUGGAACCUUGGAGAAAAAGAGCCCUUGUUACCACCAAAGACCAAUCAGGAUUCUGAAAUCUCACCAAUCAGAAGAAGAACUCUACCUUCUGGAGGCGGGGCAUGUGGGGUAAGCCCCGCCCCCAGCCUGUGAAGGAAGGAGGGAUGUUUUGCUCCCAUUCUUACCAACCAACUCCACCCUGAUGGCGGACUCCUGAAUCCCGGGAGGCUGAAUGGAUGCAGUGAGUGUUCCUCAUUUGGGCUGCAUUGGUCCCUCCCACCCAGCCUGGAUCUUGGAUGGCUCUUCCUCCUCAUUUUCACUUUGGCUGGCUCCUGAUUACCAUUCAGGUCUCAACUCAAAUGUCACCUCCUUAGAAAGACCUUCCCAGUGCACCUCUCUGAAGCUUCACACAUUACUCUGUAUUGUAUUAUCAUUUUAAAUUUUGAAUAUUUAAAAAAUCAUAGCAGUUA